GCUCCUACGGGGGGCAGCAGUGGGGAAUAUUGCACAAUGGGGGAAACCCUGACCCAGCAACGCCGCGUGAAGGAAGAAGGCUUUCGGGUUGUAAACUUCUUUUGUCAGGGACGAAGCAAGUGACGGUACCUGACGAAUAAGCCACGGCUAACUACGUGCCAGCAGCCGCGGUAAUACGUAGGUGGCAAGCGUUAUCCGGAUUUAUUGGGUGUAAAGGGCGUGUAGGCGGGAA
rnacentral:rRNA from 1 species